rnacentral:tRNA from 1 species
AAAUAAGAAACAAUUAAUGUAUUUAGUUUCGACCUAAAAAGAAGAUUUUAAAAAUCCUUAUUUU